UUAAGCUACUGGGCUCAUACCCCAUUUAUAAAGGUUCUAAUCCUUUUCUUUUUAAUUUUUAAUAAUUCAUCAAAAAUUAUAUUUUUAACUAUUUUAAUAAUAGGAUCUUUAAUUGCAAUUUCAGCAAACUCUUGAAUAGGAGCCUGAAUAGGUUUAGAAAUUAAUUUGUUAGCUUUUAUCCCCCUAAUAAGAGAUAAUAAAUUAAUAUCUACAGAAGCAUCUUUAAAGUACUUUUUAACUCAAGCACUAGCUUCUUCUGUAUUUUUAUUUGCAGUAAUUUUAUUUUUACUUAAUACUGGUAAAAAUAAUGCAAAUUUAAUAGAAAUAAUUAUUCUUUCUUCUUUAUUAUUAAAGAGAGGUUCUGCUCCUUUCCAUUUUUGAUUCCCUAAUGUAAUAGAAGGAUUAUCAUGAAUUAAUGCAUUAAUUUUAAUAACUUGACAAAAAAUUGCUCCGUUAAUAUUAAUUUCUUAUGUAAUUUUUAAGCCAUUAAUUAUUAUCAGAAUUAUUUUAUCAAGUUUAAUUGGUGCAUUAGGAGGUUUAAAUCAAACUUCUUUACGUAAAUUAAUAGCUUAUUCUUCAAUUAACCAUUUAGGAUGAAUGUUAGCUGCAAUAUAUAAUAGAAAUAUUUGACUAGUAUAUUUUUUAUUUUAUACAUUUUUAACAUUUUCAAUAGUGUUAAUAUUUAAUAUGUUUAAAAUUUCUUAUAUUAAUCAAUUAUUUUCUUUAUUUUUCCAUGAAAAAAGAAUUAAAUUUUUCUUAUUUUUUAAUCUUCUUUCAUUAGGAGGAUUACCCCCAUUUUUAGGGUUCUUACCAAAAAUAUUUGUAAUUCAAUCUUUAACUAUAAAUAAUCAAUUAUUUUUAUUAACUUUUAUAGUAAUAAUAACAUUAAUUACUUUAUAUUUUUAUAUUCGAUUAUGUUAUAGUGCUUUUAUACUAAACUAUUAUGAAAAUAGUUGAAUAACAUUUUCAUAUUAUAAGUCUUCAAAUAUAAAGCUUUUAUUAACUUUUUCUUAUAUUUCAACUUUUGGGUUAUUUUUAACUUCUUCCUUAUAUUUCUUUUUUUAAGGCUUUAAGUUAAAUAAACUAAUAGCCUUCAAAGCUAUCAAUAUAAGAAUAAUCUUUUAAGCCUUAGUAAAUUUAUUACUCCUUUAGAAUUGCAGUCUAAUGUCAUUAUUGACUAUAAAGCUAAUUGAUUAAAGAGAAAAAUUCUCAUAAAUAAAUUUACAAUCUAUUGCCUAAACUUCAGCCAUUUAAUCGCAACAAUGGUUAUUUUCUACUAAUCAUAAAGAUAUUGGUACUUUAUAUUUUAUCUUCGGAGCAUGAUCUGGUAUAGUAGGAACAUCAUUAAGAAUUUUAAUUCGAGCUGAAUUAGGACACCCUGGUGCUCUAAUUGGAGACGAUCAAAUUUAUAAUGUUAUUGUAACAGCUCAUGCUUUUAUUAUAAUUUUCUUUAUAGUAAUACCUAUUAUAAUUGGAGGGUUUGGAAAUUGAUUAGUUCCUUUAAUAUUAGGAGCUCCAGAUAUAGCAUUCCCUCGAAUGAAUAAUAUAAGUUUUUGAUUAUUACCUCCUGCAUUAACUCUAUUAUUAGUAAGAAGUAUAGUAGAAAAGGGAGCUGGAACAGGUUGAACUGUUUAUCCACCUUUAUCAUCAAUUAUUGCUCAUGGUGGAGCUUCAGUUGAUUUAGCUAUUUUCUCUCUUCACUUAGCAGGAAUUUCUUCAAUUUUAGGAGCAGUAAAUUUUAUUACAACUGUUAUUAACAUACGAUCAACAGGAAUUACAUUCGAUCGAAUGCCUUUAUUUGUUUGAUCAGUUGUAAUUACUGCAUUAUUAUUAUUAUUAUCUCUUCCUGUUCUUGCUGGAGCUAUUACUAUACUAUUAACUGAUCGAAAUUUAAAUACUUCAUUCUUUGACCCAGCUGGAGGAGGUGAUCCAAUUCUUUACCAACACUUAUUCUGAUUCUUUGGACAUCCAGAAGUUUAUAUUUUAAUUUUACCUGGAUUUGGAAUAAUUUCUCAUAUUAUUAGUCAAGAAUCAGGAAAGAAGGAAACAUUCGGUUCUUUAGGAAUAAUUUAUGCUAUGUUAGCAAUUGGACUUUUAGGAUUUAUUGUAUGAGCUCAUCACAUAUUUACUGUUGGAAUAGACGUUGAUACUCGAGCUUACUUCACUUCAGCUACAAUAAUUAUUGCUGUACCUACUGGAAUUAAGAUUUUUAGUUGAUUAGCUACAUUAUACGGAACUCAACUAACUUAUUCUCCAGCUAUUUUAUGAGCUUUAGGAUUCGUAUUCUUAUUUACUGUAGGAGGUUUAACAGGAGUAGUACUAGCUAACUCAUCUGUUGAUAUUAUUUUACAUGAUACAUAUUAUGUAGUUGCUCAUUUCCACUAUGUACUUUCUAUAGGAGCUGUAUUUGCUAUUAUAGCAGGAUUUGUACAUUGAUACCCUCUAUUUACUGGAUUAACUCUAAAUAAUAAACUUUUAAAAAGUCAAUUUGUUAUUAUAUUUAUUGGAGUAAAUUUAACAUUCUUUCCUCAACAUUUCUUAGGAUUAGCCGGAAUACCUCGACGAUAUUCUGAUUAUCCUGAUGCUUAUACAGCAUGAAAUGUAAUUUCAACAAUCGGUUCAACAAUUUCAUUAUUAGGAAUUUUAUAUUUAUUCUAUAUUAUCUGAGAAAGUUUAGUAUCUCAACGACAAGUAAUUUUCCCAAUUCAAUUAAAUUCAUCAAUUGAAUGAUUACAAAAUACUCCACCUGCUGAACACAGAUAUAAUGAAUUGCCUUUACUAACUAAUUUCUAAUAUGGCAGAUUAGUGCAAUGGAUUUAAGCUCCAUAUAUAAAGUAUUUUACUUUUAUUAGAAACUAAUGUCAACAUGAGCAAAUUUAGGUUUACAAGAUAGUUCUUCUCCAUUAAUAGAACAAUUAAUUUUUUUUCAUGAUCAUGCAUUAAUAAUUUUAGUAAUAAUUACAGUAUUAGUCGGAUAUUUAAUGUUUACAUUAUUUUUUAAUAAAUAUGUUAAUCGUUAUUUAUUACAUGGACAAACAAUUGAAAUUAUUUGAACUAUUUUACCUGCAAUUAUUUUAUUAUUCAUUGCUUUCCCUUCUUUACGAUUAUUAUACUUAUUAGAUGAAAUUAAUGAACCAUCAGUAACUUUAAAGGCUAUUGGUCAUCAAUGAUAUUGAAGUUAUGAAUAUUCAGAUUUUAAUAAUGUUGAAUUUGAUUCUUAUAUAAUUCCUACAAAUGAAUUACCAGUAGACGGAUUUCGUUUAUUAGAUGUAGAUAAUCGAGUAGUUUUACCAAUAAAUUCUCAAAUUCGAAUUUUAGUAACUGCUGCUGAUGUAAUUCAUUCAUGAACUGUUCCUGCUUUAGGUGUAAAGGUUGAUGGUACUCCUGGUCGUCUAAAUCAAACUAAUUUCUUAAUUAAUCGACCAGGUUUAUUCUAUGGACAAUGUUCAGAAAUUUGUGGAGCUAAUCAUAGUUUUAUACCAAUUGUAAUUGAAAGUAUUCCUGUAAAUUAUUUUAUUAAGUGAAUUUCUAAAAAUAAUUCUUCAUUAGAUGACUGAAAGCAAGUACUGGUCUCUUAAACCAUUUUAUAGUAAAUUAGCACUUACUUCUAAUGAAAAAAUUAGUUAAAAAUAUAACAUUAGUUUGUCAAACUAAAAUUAUUAAUUUAUUAAUAUUUUUUAAUCCCUCAAAUAGCACCAAUUGGUUGAUUAAGCUUAUUUAUUAUUUUUUCAAUUACAUUUGUAAUUUUUAAUGUAAUAAAUUACUAUUCAUAUAUUCCUUCAAUACCUAAAUCAAAUUUAAGUAAUAAAACUCAUUCAACAAAGUCAUUAAAUUGAAAAUGAUAACAAAUUUAUUCUCUGUUUUUGACCCUUCAUCAAGUAUUUUUAAUCUUUCAUUAAAUUGAUUAAGAACUUUUUUAGGAAUUUUAAUGAUUCCAUCAAUAUACUGACUUAUACCAUCUCGAUACCACAUUUUUUGAAAUAAUAUUUUAUUAACACUUCAUAAGGAAUUUAAAACUUUACUUGGUCCUAUAGGAGCAAACGGUUCUACAUUUAUUUUCGUUUCAUUAUUUUCUAUAAUUUUAUUUAAUAAUUUUAUAGGAUUAUUUCCAUAUAUUUUUACAAGAACAAGUCAUUUAACUUUAACUCUAACUUUAGCUCUUCCUUUAUGAUUAUGUUUUAUAUUAUAUGGAUGAAUUAAUAAUACUCAACAUAUAUUUGCUCAUUUAGUUCCUCAAGGAACUCCAGCUAUUUUAAUACCAUUUAUAGUAUGCAUUGAAACUAUUAGUAAUGUAAUUCGACCAGGAACUUUAGCUGUUCGAUUAACAGCUAAUAUAAUUGCUGGACAUCUACUUCUUACUCUUUUAGGAAAUACAGGACCUUCUUUAUCUAUAGUAUUAAUUAGUUUUUUAAUUAUUACACAAAUUGCACUAUUAGUUUUAGAAUCAGCAGUUGCAAUAAUUCAAUCAUACGUAUUUGCUGUUCUAAGAACAUUAUAUUCUAGAGAAGUUAAUUAAUGUCAACACAUUCAAAUCACCCAUUUCAUUUAGUAGACUAUAGUCCAUGACCAUUAACAGCAUCAAUUGGAGCUAUAACAACAGUUGCAGGAAUAGUAAAAUGAUUUCAUCAAUAUGAUAAUUCAUUAUUCUUAUUAGGAAAUGUUAUUACAAUUUUAACUGUGUACCAAUGAUGACGAGAUGUUUCUCGAGAAGGAACAUAUCAAGGUCUUCAUACACUUUCUGUUACUACAGGUUUACGAUGAGGAAUAAUUUUAUUUAUUCUUUCAGAAGUUUUAUUUUUCGUUUCAUUUUUUUGAGCAUUUUUCCAUAGUAGCUUAUCUCCUUCAAUUGAAUUAGGAGCAAUAUGACCACCUUUAGGAAUUACUCCUUUCAAUCCAUUCCAAAUUCCUUUAUUAAAUACUGUAAUUUUACUAACUUCUGGAAUUACUGUAACUUGAACUCAUCAUAGUUUAAUGGAAGGCAAUCAUUCACAAACUACACAAGGAUUAUUUUUUACAGUAUUAUUAGGAAUUUACUUUACAAUUCUUCAAGCUUAUGAAUAUAUUGAAGCUCCAUUCACAAUUGCAGAUUCAGUUUACGGUUCUACUUUCUUUAUAGCAACAGGAUUUCAUGGUCUUCAUGUAUUAAUUGGAACAACUUUUUUAAUUGUUUGUUUAGGUCGACAUUUAAAUAACCACUUUUCAAAAAAUCACCACUUUGGAUUUGAAGCUGCUGCUUGAUAUUGACAUUUUGUUGAUAUUGUUUGAUUAUUCCUUUAUGUAUCUAUUUACUGAUGAGGAGGAUAAUUUAUUA